rnacentral:piRNA from 1 species
UGUUAUGAAUCAUAAUGUAAAUGUCUGA